rnacentral:rRNA from 1 species
UACGUAGGCAGCAAGCGUUGUUCGGAAUUACUGGGUUUAAAGGGUGCGUAGGUGGGUAAGUAAGUCAGUGGUGAAAUCUUCGAGCUUAACUCGGAAGCUGCCAUUGAUACUAUUUAUCUUGAAUACUUUGGAGGUAAGCGGAAUAUGUCAUGUAGCGGUGAAAUGCUUAGAUAUGACAUAGAACACCAAUUGCGAAGGCAGCUUACUACACAGUUAUUGACACUGAGGCACGAAAGCGUGGGGAUCAAACAGG